UACGGAGGUGGCAAGCGUUGUUCGGAAUUAUUGGGCGUAAAGGGCGCGUAGGCGGCUUGGCAAGUCAGAUGUGAAAGCCCCGGGCUUAACUCGGGAAUUGCAUCUGAAACUGCUUAGCUUGAGUUCUGGAGGGGGUAGUGGAAUUCCCAGUGUAGCGGUGAAAUGCGUAGAUAUUGGGAGGAACACCAGCGGCGAAGGCGGCUACCUGGACAGUAACUGACGCUGAUGCGCGAAAGCUAGGGGAGCGAACGGG
rnacentral:rRNA from 1 species